AGUGAACGCUGGCGGCGUGCUUAACACAUGCAAGUCGAACGAGAACGGAAUAUAGCUUGCUAUAUUUGUCAGCUAAGUGGCGCACGGGUGAGUAAUGUAUAGAUAACCUGCCCUUAAGAAAGGAAUAACAGUUGGAAACGACUGCUAAUGCCCUAUAUGCCUUUAAUACAUAAGUAUGCAAGGGAAACGCUUUAGUGCUUAAGGAUGGGUCUGUAUGGUAUCAGCUUGUUGGUGAGGUAAUGGCUCACCAAGGCUAUGACGCCUAACUGGUUUGAGAGGAUGAUCAGUCACACUGGAACUGAGACACGGUCCAGACUCCUACGGGGGGCUGCAGUGGGGAAUAUUGCACAAUGGACGAAAGUCUGAUGCAGCAACGCCGCGUGGAGGAUGACACAUUUCGGUGCGUAAACUCCUUUUAUAUAGGAAGAUAAUGACGGUACUAUAUGAAUAAGCACCGGCUAACUCCGUGCCAGCAGCCGCGGUAA
rnacentral:rRNA from 1 species